rnacentral:tRNA from 1 species
GGCUCCGUGGUGUAGUUGCUAUCGCAUUGGCCUAGAAUGCCGAAGACGCUGGUUCGAAUCCAGCCGGUGCCC